GCGACGCCGCGUGGAGGAUGAAGUCCGUAAGGAUGUAAACUCCUGUUGAGAGGGAAGAACAGUCCCGUUUUCGGGAUUUGACGGUACCUCUCGAGGAAGGCCCGGCUAACUACGUGCCAUCAGCCGCGGUAAUACGUAGGGGCCAAGCGUUGUCCGGAUUUACUGGGUGUAAAGGGUCCGCAGGCGGGCUUGUAAGUCAAUGGUGAAAUCUUCCGGCUUAACCGGGAAACUGCUGUUGAAACUGCAAGCCUUGAGUCCAGGAGAGGGUGGUGGAAUUCAUGGUGUACCGGUGAAAUGCGUAAAUAUCAUGAAGAACACCGGUGGCGAAGGCGGCCACCUGGCCUGGAACUGACGCUCAGGGACGAAAGCGUGGGUAGCAAACAGGAUUAGAUACCCUGGUAGUCCACGCCGUAAACCAUGGGUACUCGGUGUUGGGUCGUAUGACUCGGUGCCAAAGCUAACGCAUUAAGUAC
rnacentral:rRNA from 1 species